AGUAGUGAGUAUUAGGUACUGAUAUACGUCUCGAUGCUAUCCGAAUGAAGGUUAUUGGGGUCUUUUACCCCAGGACACCCUUAAAUACGAUUGCACCCUUAACGAAUCACUAGAAAACGAACGAUCGACGUUAUCCAAUUGGUAUUUCUCAACGGUCUUUCUCCAAGUUAAACUAAAAUCCUUCGAUUUUCAUCUUGUAAAUUUAAAUCCCGUAUAACGUGAUUAUUAUCCUAUGCGUUUUAAGAAAUUGUUAUUAAUCAUAUAAAUAAUUCUUUUCUGUCAAUUAUUCUUGAUACUGCAGUGAUUAAAAAUAAAAAAGAAACCCGAUUACGAAUCAGAAAAAAUCAGUUACGAUGAAGAUGAACAAUUGACAGCAGAUUAAUGCAAAAUUUCAUUUUUAAAUUUUGUGGGAUAAUUCCUGCAUUUUAUUAUAAAGAAUGUUUCAUAAAUACGUAUCAAUAUGUCAGGAGUUAUAUAUCUACGUGAUCAAUUUUGUAUGGUUAUGCUGAAAUGACCGACAUGAUUUUUAUGUAUGACUGUGUAAACGGAAAUAAACUGAAUUCUCAAGGAUCGAAAAAUUUUCUAAUGUUUGUAACGAAAUACGCAAAGAAAGGAAGAUUGUGUUGUUGGGCCGGAAGAUACAAGAAAUAUACAGACGAAUUCAUUUAAUUAUUUCAUUGCGAACGAAGGGAGAAAGAACAUGGGGAGAAUGAAGAAGGGGGAAAAGAAUGAGGGAGUGGGAAGAUGAGAGAAAAUUACCAACUCGUACUCGACACCGGAAGAUGUGAUAUCCGUAGGCUGCUGUUUAUCAAGUCAAUAUUUUUCAACAUUUUUAAUCAUUAUUUAUAAUAAAAUUUUAAUAUGUACUAUAAGUGAUUAAGAUUAUGCUGAUUAAUAUAAAAACAACUUGUAAUAUUGUAAUUACAA
rnacentral:lncRNA from 1 species